CUCUGCUCGGCGGGGCGUUCGCCACCAAC
rnacentral:ribozyme from 1 species